CAGUUUUCCAGGGGGUGGCCCUGGGAAAAGAGGUCUCUAUGAUCAGAUGCCAGUGAGAGCCACCAUUUACUGAGUGCCUCUUGGGUGUCAGGGAUUGAUUCAUGUAAUCUGAACCACCACCCUACACAAUGCAUAGUAUACAGUAGAUACCAUCAUGCUCUCCAUUUUACAGGUGAAGAAACUGAAAUACAGAGUUGGGCCCUUGCUCACAUUAUGCACUAGUAAUGAUGUAAAGGCAGAUUUGAAUCAAAUCUGAUUCCAAAGGUCCCUAUCUUAGACAGCUCUUCUUUCCUGCAGGACUUCUCAGCCUUGAAUGUUCUAAUGUGUACUUUGACUUUCAAAGAGGAGUGAAGGUGUAACGUUCCCAAUUUAUUUGACCACAGAAUCCUGACUUCGAGGAACACUUAGUACCAUCUUGAUGAACACAGUGUUCCAUAAAACAUGGGAAGCCACCAGAAACAGCCCUCAGGCCUGCCCAACUCUGAGACCUUUCAGUGAUGGCCAGAGAAAGUGAGGACCCUGGGAAACAAAUCACACAGUCUGGUAUCUCCCCAUGUACCCAGUGGAGCCCCUGACUUACCAGAAAUGGCAUCAGGCUCAGGUUUGCUCCCUGGCAGAUCCUCCACAGAUGUGCUGCUGCCCUCAGCCCCAACACCGCAUCCCCGAGGCCCCAUGGCACUGGAGCGCCGCCGCUCGUGGAUCUCAUCUGAGAUCAUCUCCAGGUUCUUCAGGGCCAUCUUGUAUUCGCCUUUUGCCAAGGUCAAUUUGGCCUGCAGGUCGUCCACAGUCUUUUUCAGUUGCUGGUCGAGAGAACAGGAGACUAAGUGAAGACUACCCUGUUAGCCUUAAGAUGCUUUCUGAAUGACAGGUUCAAGUACAUUUUCUGCCCAUCAUUCUACUUCAAGGAAUGUUCCAAGACAUGACUGAAGACCUGAUUACCAUUAUAACUGCUAUUCAUUCACCAGACAAAAUCAGCCACUACCAUCCCCAGAUACCAUCCAGGUGACAAGCUCUGAUAUCCAGCAACUCUCACUGGUGGAAUAAACCCCCAUCAGGGAAGCAAAAAUGGGCAAACACACCGAAGUCCCACAGUCUAGACAUCUGGUUCCCAGUACAGUGGUUCUCAAACUUGAACUUGCAUCAAAAUCCCCUUGAGUGUUAAGACUCAGCUCACUGGACUCCAACCUCUGAGUUUCUGAUUAAAUCGGUCUAGAGUGGGACCUGGUCUAUCAGGUCUCCAGGUGAUGGUGAUGCUGCUAGUCCUAAGAGCAUGCUGUGAGAACCACUGGCCUCGUACAACAGAGAAAGUGACUGAACAGCAGUUACAGAAGUUCAGAGACGAAUGAAGACCCAACCAAGACAAUUUUGAGGUCUGAAAACUCAGUAAAGCAUGUGUCUCUCCACUUUCCCCUUACAGCAAGUGGCCCAUUUGAUAUUCUGCUGCCUCAGAAAAGUGAAGCUUUGAGUGUAGAAAAAUCCCAUCAGUGACAAAAGCCCAAAGCUACACAUACCUCAAGCUGCACGUAGUACUUUGCCUUGAGUUCAAAAUAAGGCCUGCAGAAGACAGGAAGGAAAACCAUCAGAGUAAUAUAAUACAGUAACCACAGUCAACUCCACAAGAUGAAAAAGAGGCAUCAGCUACCACUGGCCAGGUCAUCCUUCCAAUAUUUAGUAAAUUCUAACAAGGCCAUGACAUGUGAGUGAUGCUCCUAGCUUUGGAGACUGACUGACAGACACCAGAUAGAACAACUGGGCUCACCCAGUGCUAUACUGACAGGAGGCCCAUCUCACGACACAGGGAAGCCACACACACAUAUCUUGGGGACUCUGCAACCUAGCUCAUAUUCCUCCUGUGUGGGAAGGCUGUUCAGGGCCACACGGGUUAUACCCAGCAGUAAGGGUGGCCUGGAUCUACUCUCCUAACGAAGUUGAUUCCCCAGGGAUGAAAAGCAGAUGAGGCUGGAGAAGGGCUGCUUAAACCUUCUCCUCUACUGAAGUCAACUGGGGAAGAGAGAGAAGCACCACACCUCCCUCACAGCACAGCAAGGCCACCACUAGGAGGGGUCUCAGGUUGGUCCUCCUGAACCUGUCCAAAGACUGGAGUUGUUAGUUGGCCAACUCAGCCACAUAAUGGGCACAAGAAAUGCCAGUAUCCUAGCAGUUCCCUUGCUUCUGGGUCAGCCAAAAGAGCUUGGCUCUUUUAGGAACUUUGGUGCCUGAACAUUAAGAGUAGAUCAUUGCUUUAUUCUUGAGCUGUUCAGCCUCCAUGAAGCUCUCAAGUGCUGCAUCCUGAGGAUCCAGAUGGAUGACAAGGACACAGGACUGCCAUUGAGAAAUGAAGAUGAACUGUGUCCCAGAUGCAUUGGAUUACUGACUGCCCUGUAAUAGUCCAUUUUGUAUCUGUUGGUAAUUCAUUUCAGCAUUCUUGGUUUUCUAUGAGUUUGUAUUUUUUUGAAUUCAAGAAUUGUAACAUCUCAUUAGAUCCCUCCUUAUUUAAUAGAAAAUAUUUGACACGAGAACAUUUUA